CCUACGGGAGGCUGCAGUGAGGAAUAUUGGUGAAUGUGCGGGGGGGGGGGGCAGCCAAGUAGCGUGAAGGAUGACUGCCCUAUGGGUUGUAAACUUCUUUUAUAUGGGAAUAAAACGUUCCACGUGUGGGAUUUUGUAUGUACCAUAUGAAUAAGGAUCGGCUAACUCCGUGCCAGCAGCCGCGGUAAUACGGAGGAUCCGAGCGUUAUCCGGAUUUAUUGGGUUUAAAGGGAGCGUAGGUGGAUUGUUAAGUCAGUUGUGAAAGUUUGCGGCUCAACCGUAAAAUUGCAGUUGAAACUGGCAGUCUUGAGUACAGUAGAGGUGGGCGGAAUUCGUGGUGUAGCGGUGAAAUGCUUAGAUAUCACGAAGAACUCCGAUUGCGAAGGCAGUUCACUGGACUGCAACUGACACUGAGGCUCGAAAGUGUGGGUAUCAAACAGGAUUAGAUACCCUUGUAGUC
rnacentral:rRNA from 1 species